CGAUUUUGGAGGUCAUCAACGCCUUGAUCGGCGAUUGGGUUUCGGAUUUGACCUCCUCUUGCGUGUGGGUUUCGGGUUUAAACAAUUUUGGAGCCAUCCGCCACCGUCCAUCGUCUGGUACCAGCGUUACUCCGCCCUCUGCCCCUUCUUUCGCAAGUACAUCCCCACCUCCUCCCAUGUUCUCAUGGUCGGCUAUGGCAAUGCCAUGAGCUAAGGUAUGCGUACGAAGUGUUUGAUGAAAUGCCCGUGAGAAAUGUAGUAUCGUGGACGAAAAUAGCAGUGACGGUAAGUCCUAUAUCUUUGAUAUCCUUGGUUUUCGCUUGAGUUUCUUGCCACCCUAUGAUCGUGGAAUGAGUUUCUAACGCUACGCUGUUUGGGGCUGUUGCUUUUCCAAAAAAAUUCAUUUGGAAGACGAACAAAAAAUUGCACACAUGAGCCUUUUGAUCGCUGUGCAAUUGGUUUUCAAUUUUUAUUUAAAUAGAAAACAAUUUUAGGUGAGUGUGUGACCAAAUGAAUUGAAGCCUAGAAUUACAUGUCAAAACCAUCACUACGCGAAAGCUGGCAACACACUUGAGCAAGCAUGCACUUAGUUUAGGCAUGACCUAUGUAAAUCAUGUCAAACUUCAUUAAUCAAGAAUAGAAAAUCACAAAUAUUGUCGUUGUAUUCUAUAUUUUCAGCUGCAUUGUGCAAUGGGAGACUUCCUGUAGGUGACGGAUUGCAUCAAAUGAGAUGCACGUCACUUUCUGACAGUAUGGUUGAGAGUCCUCUGCCUCCAUCUGUGAAGGCAUAAACCUGAGGCUACUCAAGGCCCAAAGAUUGGGUGGUGGCUUUUUGAUUUUGUGAUUGAAUUAGUUAAUUAGUUUGUGUUGUGGUUUGGCAAAAAUACCAUGGGUGCUUGCUUCUAUAACUUUGAAACCAUGGGUAAAAAAUUUGAGUGAGUUCUAUAUGAUCAAUUUUUUUUUCGUGAGGUCUAUAUGUGUAAUAGGGAAAAAAAUGCUUGGAGCAAUGCGACGCGCCCA